UCCCGGGUCAUCUGUUCUGUGAUGUCAGAGACUGGGGCAGAGUGCUGUGGCGCCGAUGGCUGGCUUCCGGCGCCUGCAGGUCUCUGGGCCUCUGAGUCAUGCUGUUGCCCCCCCCACCCCCCCAGGUCCCAGUCAUGCCCGCCGGCCACGCUCAUUGUUAGAGACCUUCAAAAGGUCACUGCCAAGUCGUGAUGUCCUAGAUACAUUGUGGGUCAAGAUGAGAAGCAAGGCCCCUGUGAGCUCCCAGAAGCCACCUGGAAGCCUUGAACAGGUAUCACCCACUGGUUAACGGAAGGUCUGAGACUGGAACCCAAGCCUACAGAGCACCCACCUGCUCCUGUUUCUGGGCUCAGAGAAAGAGCCUCAGUGUCACAGGCCGUGUUCAAAAAAAGGAAGCAAAGGAGACCUGCUGCAGUCUCUGUCCAGAGAGAGCCAAAGGAUGGGUGAAGGUUGCAAAGCGAAAUCGUGGGUGUGAAGGGGCCGAUGCAGAACCCCUGUGGCCGCAGAGGCAGGGGCAGCGACCCGAGGGAGGACCCUGGCACCGGGCAUAAGGGGACAACCUCCUCCUAGCGCCGACCUCCUCUGUGCUCUGCAGGAUCCUGAAGCAGACCUCGGCCCUCAGAGCUGGUGGCACCCGGCAUGCUUCCGAAAGCGGGGCCUAGGGAAGUUGCAGGGCUGGAAGGAGGCUCAGGGACGCCCGCCGCCCGCCUUCCCAC
ensembl:lncRNA